rnacentral:rRNA from 1 species
UACGUAGGGUGCGAGCGUUGUCCGGAAUUACUGGGCGUAAAGAGCUCGUAGGUGGUUUGUCGCGUUGUCCGUGAAAACUCACAGCUCAACUGUGGGCGUGCGGGCGAUACGGGCAGACUGGAGUACUGCAGGGGAGACUGGAAUUCCUGGUGUAGCGGUGGAAUGCGCAGAUAUCAGGAGGAACACCGGUGGCGAAGGCGGGUCUCUGGGCCGAUACUGACGCUGAGGAGCGAAAGUGUGGGGAGCGAACAGG